UGGGUAGAAGCCAAAAUAGAGGCGCUUGUCUGUUAACCAAGCUACUGAGAGAUUUCACUCUCCUGCCCAG
rnacentral:tRNA from 1 species